AAUUGCGCCCCACCGAAGGGGCGCACAUUUAGUGGACCGCGGGUAUAUAGUGUUUGUGUUGUGUAUGGCAAAAAAUUUUUCCACUCUUUACUUUGCGGGGGACUUCUGCUCGGUCAUCCAACCCGGAUCUGAUAUAACACAACCAGUGUGUUUGGUACCACCAAGACAAAAAAAACACCCAUCGAGCAAAACUUUUUUUGUCUUGGUGUCCUUGUUGUCUCUAAAGAUUUGAAUGCGAUAAAAAAUGUUAAUCGAGAUUCUUUUGUUAUGUUAAUAUGAAGCUUUGUAAUAUGGAGCUUUGUUUGUCUCGUUUAAUGUGCUUAAAUGUCGCUGCAGCCCACGUGAAUUUAGCUUCAAGAAAAGAUUCGUUUUUGUGUGAGCUACGUUGUUUCCAAACCUGUUAACAGUAAAUCAUUUGUUAUGAAACCAUGCACCAUCAGCAGUUUCGAAAAAUCUUCAACGAGAGAAAUUUUUAAGGAUUUUAUUGGUAACUUAACAGAGUAAUAAUUCAUUGAAAUUGAAAUUGUUCAGAAGUUAUUAUAUAUAUUCGAAUCGUGAAGUUCAUACAUAGUAAUCCUGCAUCCUGGAAUUUUCGAGAUCAGUUAUAAAAAAAUCCAGUUAAAGUUUUAACCAUUGUUUUAGAAUAUAUACUAUAUAUAUGUAAAAAAAAAAUUAUUUUUUAUUUAUCAAGUUGUAUACGCAAUAAUAAUUGAGAAUUAGGAUA